rnacentral:rRNA from 1 species
UGGGGAAUUUUGGACAAUGGGCGAAAGCCUGAUCCAGCAAUGCCGCGUGCAGGAAGAAGGCCUUCGGGUUGUAAACCGCUUUUGUCAGGGAAGAAAUCCUUUGAGCUAAUACCUCGGGGGGAUGACGGUACCUGAAGAAUAAGCACCGGCGAACUCUGUGCCAGCAGCCGCGGUAAUACAGAGGGUGCAAGCGUUAAUCGGAAUUACUGGGCGUAAAGCGCGCGUAGGUGGUUUGUUAGGUUGGAUGUGAAAUCCCCGGGCUCAACCUGGGAACUGCAUUUGUGACUGCAUAGCUGGAGUGCGGCAGAGGGGGAUGGAAUUCCGCGUGUAGCAGUGAAAUGCGUAGAUAUGCGGAGGAACACCGAUGGCGAAGGCAAUCCCCUGGGCCUGCACUGACGCUCAUGCACGAAAGCGUGGGGAGCAAACA